GAUGAACGCUGGCGGCGUGCCUAAUACAUGCAAGUCGAGCGAACGGACGAGAAGCUUGCUUUUCUGAUGUUAGCGGCGGACGGGUGAGUAACACGUGGAUAACCUACCUAUAAGACUGGGAUAACUUCGGGAAACCGGAGCUAAUACCGGAUAAUAUUUUGAACCGCAUGGGUCAAAAGUGAAAGACGGUCUUGCUGUCACUAAUAGAUGGAUCCGCGCUGCAUUAGCUAGUUGGUAAGGUAACGGCUUACCAAGGCAACGAUGCAUAGCCGACCUGAGAGGGUGAUCGGCCACACUGGAACUGAGACACGGUCCAGACUCCUACGGGAGGCAGCAGUAGGGAAUCUUCCGCAAUGGGCGAAAGCCUGACGGAGCAACGCCGCGUGAGUGAUGAAGGUCUUCGGAUCGUAAAGCUCUGUUAUUAGGGAAGAACAUAUGUGUAAGUAACUGUGCACAUCUUGACGGUACCUAAUCAGAAAGCCACGGCUAACUACGUG
rnacentral:rRNA from 1 species